rnacentral:rRNA from 1 species
UACGUAGGGGGCAAGCGUUGUCCGGAUUUAUUGGGCGUAAAGAGCUCGUAGGCGGCUCGGUAAGUCGGAUGUGAAACCUCCAGGCUCAACCUGGAGACGCCAUCUGAUACUGCCGUGGCUUGAGUCCGGUAGAGGAGCAGGGAAUUCCUGGUGUAGCGGUGAAAUGCGUAGAUAUCUGGAGGAAUACCGGUGGCGAAGGCGGCAUCCUGGACCGGCAUUGACGCUGAGGAGCGAAAGCCAGGGGAGCAAACGGG